UACGCCGAGAUGACUGUCCAGUUGAUGGGAAACACAUCAGGAUGAAUGGCUCGCUCCUGGAUCCACAAACACCCAUGAGCUCACGUCUCAAAGCCUGAAGGCCACUGUCAUUUGACACCUGACACUUUUUACACACCCUAAAGACAAAGCAACCAGGACCUCUUCUCAUCUUGCACACAGAUCACAGUACAGCCGCCCUGAUUCAUUAACAGGACUGAAAAAGAGCAAAUUCCUCAGCUCCAGUUGGAUUCUGCCUGCCUGUCCUGUCGUGUGCAAAACACAGGUGUGGGGGGCAAGCAGAGAGCAUCUGGACACCCUGAUCCAUGCCGUCUGCCCUGUGGGCUCUCCGCAGUGCACAGCCCGCAAGCAGUAGCUGACCGGACAGCCGCGAGUGGCCUCACCACACACCAGCCCCACCUGCGCGUUUUACAGCGUUCAGCAGAUGGAAGAAAAUGACCUCAGAAAGACCGAAAAGAAAACACAGCAGCAUUGUCACAUUUGCUACCAAUUUUUGUGCCAAGGCACAGGACUAACGGGGAGAGAAUGCUUACAAGACUGAGGUGGAUUGAUGUGGUGUGUAACACAUACCUGGGAGGCACCUAUAUGCUCCCUGACCUGAAUCAAUGCCUCUGUUCAGCAGCUCAGAUUUCCAGUGGAAAUGACUAUUGCAUGAAAGUAUGAUGGAACAAAAACACAGCAAACCACAGAGCUGCAGGAUCUGCACAAAUGCUUCUGAGGAGACCAAUGUUUCAGCUCAUGCAUGUCCUUGCCACUUUUUAUUGCUGGGUUCGUUAACGACUGCGACUGUCAAUUGCGAAUGGGCAGAACUGAACGAUCAGGUUGUGUAAAAACAAAAUUAGACUUGGCUUCUGGAGGAAGAUCGGGCCUUUUCCAGAGCAAUGCACCAGGUCAACAGGAAACGCCCACAGCGGUGGCGUUUAAACAGACAGGGCACGAGGGGCAAGCAUGGACACAGGUGCCCACCCCUGAGCCCCAUCCCUGAUGGGGCACUGCUGUUAAAAAUGG